UAAUGAAGCAGUUUGAGUUAAUUCAUCAUUUCUGUGAUGUGAAGCUCUAGUAUGAUGUGAUGUUGAGGAUCUUCAUGAUGUUGGGAACAGUGCAGGAUCAUUAUUGAGAGUGUUUGCUGCUCCUACUGUGAUUCUUCUUCAGAUCAUCUGUGAAAGAAGAGCUGGGAGGACGAAACAGCAGCAUGAGAAGAAAUAGUGAUGAAUACAAUAUUAGAAAAAAUGCUCCAUAUACAUACACUACAGUACAUGUUAAUUUUCUAACCUUGAUUCAUCUAAUCAGAACAUUAAACAUUACAAAUAUGUGCUGAAUACUUACACUAUGUGCAGAAAGAUUGAUAAUAUUCUCUAAAACUCUGAGUCUGUGUUGUUCUGAAGAAAGUCAUACAGGAAUGAGAUGUAAAGCAUCUAAAGUUUUCACAUCGUAUCUGUGCUUUAACUUGAGUUUAAUUUUAGGGUCCCACCUGUGUACUUACUGAAGUAACUAGAAGUGUGUGUAGUAUAAGUAUACAUUAGUACAUAGUAUCUACCUACAUACAGUUACGUAUGUUUGUACUCUCAUUCUUUCCAUCUCCACAAGGACUUGUACCACGACAGAUCAACAUUGUUUGUCGAAGACAACUAGUGAUGUAUAAUGCUAUGUAGUUUAAUAAAUGAUAAGACACUUG